GCCGAAGUGGUGAAAUUGGUAGACGCAGUGGACUCAAAAUCCACCGGGCUUUUGGUCCAUGCCGGUUCAAAUCCGGCCUUCGGCACCA
rnacentral:tRNA from 1 species